CAGAAGUUCAAGGUCGUUCUCGGCCACA
rnacentral:piRNA from 1 species